GGUGAGUCGGGUCCUAAGGCGAGGCCGACAGGCGUAGUCGAAUGGAUGAACGGGUGGAUAUUCCCGUACCGACCAUGGACCGGCAAAACCGAGACGGUGAGUACUAACCUCCGCCUCGUGGUGGUUCCUUCCUUCGGGUUGGUGUCGCCGCGUGGUGUUGGGACUGUAGCCGUAGUAGGUCAGCGCAGGGGUGACACGGAAUGGGAGCCGGCCGCGGAGGUGGUUUUCCGUGGUCAAGCACGCAGCCAGUCAUGUAGGCAAAUCCGCAUGGCGCGCAUGGCGAGGUGUGAUGAUGGGAGCCGUUAUGGCUCGAUAUCCGGUUGUCCAGGCCGUCGAGAAAAGCCUCGGCGUGAGGGCCAUGGCCGCCCGUACCCCAAACCGACACUGGUGGUCAGGUAGAGAAUACCAAGGCGAUCGAGCGAAUCCUGGUCAAGGAACUCGGCAAAUCACUCCCGUGCCUUCGGUAUAAGGGAGACCCGCUGGGGUGAACCGGCUAGCCCGGGGAGCUUUGGUGGGUGGCACAGACCAGGGGGUAGCGACUGUUUACCAAAAACACAGGUGCAUGCGAAGGCGCAAGCCGCUGUAUAUGCACUGACGCCUGCCCGGUGCCGGAAGGUUAAGAGGAUCCGUCAGUCCUUCGGGAUGAAGCGGUGAAUUCAAGCCCCGGUAAACGGCGGUGGUAACUAUAACCAUCCUAAGGUAGCGAAAUUCCUUGUCGGGUAAGUUCCGACCUGCACGAAUGGCGUAACGACUUCCCCACUGUCUCGACCAGGAGCUCGGCGAAAUUGCAGUACGAGUAAAGAUGCUCGUUAAGCGCAGAAGGACGAAAAGACCCCGGGACCUUUACUAUACCUUGGUAUUGGCGUUAGGCGCGGAUUGUGUAGCAUAGGCGGGAGGCUUCGAAGCGGGUGCGCCAGCAUUCGUGGAGCCGCAAGGUGAAAUACCGCUCUGUUCUCGUUUGACGUCUAACCUCGACAAGUCAUCCUUGUCAGGGACAGUGCCUGGCGGGUAGUUCAACUGGGGCGGUUGCCUCCCAAAGAGUAACGGAGGCGCUCAAAGGUCCGCUCAGCCCGGUUGGCAAUCGGGUGUCGAGUGUAAUCGCACAAGCGGGCUUGACUGCGAGGACGACGGUCCGAGCAGGGACGAAAGUCGGAGAUAGUGAUCCGGUGCCGGCGCACGGGCGCGGCAUCGCUCAACGGAUAAAAGGUACCCCGGGGAUAACAGGCUGAUCAUUCCCAAGAGUCCAUAUCGACGGGAUGGUUUGGCACCUCGAUGUCGGCUCGUCGCAUCCUGGGGCUGGAGCAGGUCCCAAGGGUUCGGCUGUUCGCCGAUUAAAGCGGCACGCGAGCUGGGUUCAGAACGUCGUGAGACAGUUUGGUCUCUAUCCUCUGCGCUCGUUGGAAUGCUGAGGAGGCCUGCCCAUAGUACGAGAGGACCUGGGUGGACGAACCUCUGGUAUGCCGGUUGUCGCGCCAGCGGCACGGCCGGUUGGCUACGUUCGGGAGGGAUAACCGCUGAAAGCAUCUAAGCGGGAAGCCUGCUCCAAGAUUAGGAUUCCGUACGGUCUUGAACCGUUGUAGCCCGCAUGUUGAACACGUGUUUGAUAGGCCGGAGGUGGAAGCCCCGUGAGGGGUGGAGCCGACCGGUACUAACGGGCGACGGCGACACAAC
rnacentral:rRNA from 1 species